rnacentral:rRNA from 1 species
UGAAUACGAGACGCUAAGGCGUCGAAGUAGUGUAUGUCAUACUUCCAAGAAAAGCUUGCACUGUCAUAGAUAAAAAACGCCUGUACCAUAACCGACACAGGUGGGUAGGUAGAGUAUACUAAGGGGCGCGAGAUAACUCUCUCUAAGGAACUCGGCAAAAUAACUCCGUAACUUCGGGAGAAGGAGUGCCUUAUUCGUAAGGUUGCAAUAACAAGAUCCAAGCAACUGUUUAUCAAAAACACAGGUCUCCGCUAAGUCGUAAGACGAUGUAUGGGGGCUGACGCCUGCCCAGUGCCAGAAGGUUAAAGAAGUUGGUUAGCAAUUGCGAAGCUGAUAACUGAAGCCCUGGUGAACGGCGGCCGUAACUAUAACGGUCCUAAGGUAGCGAAAUUCCUUGUCGGGUAAGUUCCGACCCGCACGAAAGGCGUAAUGAUUUGGAUACUGUCUCGGAGAGGGGCUCGGUGAAAUAGACUUGUCUGUGAAGAUGCGGACUACCUGCACCAGGACAGAAAGACCCUAUGAAGCUUUACUGUAUCUUGAAAUUGAAAUUGGACUUUAUUCGCGCAGUAUAGGUGGGAGGCGUUGAUUAUAAUCUUGUGGGAUUAUUGGAGCCAUCACUGAGAUACCACUCUUGUAAUGUUAGAUUUCUAACUUUGAAUCAUUAUCUGGUCAAAGAACAGUUUCAGGCGGGCAGUUUGACUGGGGCGGUCGCCUCCUAAACGGUAACGGAGGCGUACAAAGGUUUCCUCUGAACGGUUAGAAAUCGUAUCUAGAGUGUAAAGGCAUAAGGAAGCUUGACUGUGAGACCUACAAGUCGGGCAGGGACGAAAGUCGGUCUUAGUGAUCUGACGGUACUGAGUGGAAAGGUCGUCACUCAACGGAUAAAAGUUACUCUAAGGAUAACAGGCUGAUCUCCCCCAAGAGUUCACAUCGACGGGGAGGUUUGGCACCUCGAUGUCGGCUCAUCGCAUCCUGGGGCGGUAGUACGUCCCAAGGGUUGGGCUGUUCGCCCAUGAAAGCGGUACGCGAGCUGGGUUCAGAACGUCGUGAGACAGUUCGGUCCAUAUCCGGUGUAGGCGUUAGAAUAUUGAGAGGAGCCUUCUUUAGUACGAGAGGACCGAGAAGGACAUACCUCUGGUGUACCAGUUAUCGUGCCAACGGUAAACGCUGGGUAGCUAUGUAUGGAGUGGAUAACCGCUGAAAGCAUCUAAGUGGGAAGCCCACCUCAAGAUAAGUAUUCUCAUC